AAGACCUUGCGCUUUUGGAGCGGCCGAUGCCUGAUUAGCUUGUUGGUAAGGUAAAAGCUUACCAAGGCUUCGAUCAGUAGCUGGUCUGAGAGGACGGCCAGCCGCACUGGGACUGAGACACGGCCCAGACUCCUACGGGAGGCAGCAGUGGGGAAUUUUGGACAAUGGGGGCAACCCUGAUCCAGCCAUGCCGCGUGAGUGAAGAAGGCCUUCGGGUUGUAAAGCUCUUUCAGCCGGAACGAAACGGUUACGGUUAAUACCCGUGAUUACUGACGGUACCGGAAGAAGAAGCACCGGCUAACUACGUGCCAGCAGCCGCGGUAAUACGUAGGGUGCGAGCGUUAAUCGGAAUUACUGGGCGUAAAGCGUGCGCAGGUGGUUUUGUAAGUCAGAUGUGAAAGCCCCGGGCUCAACCUGGGAACU
rnacentral:rRNA from 1 species